UACGUAGGGGGCAAGCGUUGUCCGGAUUUAUUGGGCGUAAAAGGCUUGUAGGUGGCCACGCCAAGUCGGAUGUGAAAUCUCCCGGCUCAACUGGGAGGGGUCAUUCGAUACUGGCGGGCUCGAGGCCGGUAGGGGGAAGUGGAAUUCCCGGUGUAGUGGUGGAAUGCGUAGAUAUCGGGAGGAACGCCAGUGGCGAAGGCGGCUUCCUGGACCGGUUCUGACACUGAGGAGCGAAAGCGUGGGGAGCGAUCCGG
rnacentral:rRNA from 1 species